GGCUGUAAACAGUGGUGUUCACAAUGAAUUGUCAGUUACAGAUUUCUUUGUUCCUUCUCCACUCCCACUUCUUUACUUGAGUAGCCUUAA
rnacentral:Y_RNA from 1 species